rnacentral:lncRNA from 1 species
CAAGAGUACAAUCAGAGUCAAAAUACAAGAGACAUUUCAAGGCAAACCAUCUUGCAUCCCUUGAAUAUAACAAUAAGAUGGGGGUGUGAUCGCAAAUGAGCCAAUGUGUGAUACAGACAUUUACAAUCAUAAUUCAUCAAAAUCCAUACCGCAUAGUCAGCUAUAAAUUCGAAUGCCCCGCAAUCACAAAUAUAAAACAAUGCAAACGAGCAAACCAACGAUCUGAUUUAUGUAUAUACAUAAAAUGUUAUCAAUUUUAAAGAUGAAAUAUUAAUAGGGGAGAACCGAAUUAGUUUUAAAACAUAAAUCACUGGAAUGUAUGUAUUAUGAAAGAAGCACAAAACAAC